rnacentral:rRNA from 1 species
CAGCAGCCGCGGUAAUACGUAGGGUGCAAGCGUUAAUCGGAAUUACUGGGCGUAAAGCGUGCGCAGGCGGUUAUAUAAGUCAGAUGUGAAAUCCUCGGGCUCAACCUGGGAACUGCAUUUGAGACUGUAUGGCUAGAGUGUGUCAGAGGGGGGUAGAAUUCCACGUGUAGCAGUGAAAUGCGUAGAUAUGUGGAGGAAUACCGAUGGCGAAGGCAGCCCCCUGGGAUAACACUGACGCUCAUGCACGAAAGCGUGGGGAGCAAACAGGAUUAGAUACCCCGGUAGUCCCUGUCUCUUAUAC